GAUGAACGCUGGCGGUAUGCUUAACACAUGCAAGUCGAACGGACUCUUCGGAGUUAGUGGCGGACGGGUGAGUAACGCGUGAGAAUCUGGCUUUGGGUUCGGGACAACCACUGGAAACGGUGGCUAAUACCGGAUGUGCCGAGAGGUAAAAGGGAAAUUGCCUGAAGAUGAGCUCGCGUCUGAUUAGCUAGUUGGUGAGGUAAAGGCUCAACAAGGCAGCGAUCAGUAGCUGGUCUGAGAGGAUGACCAGCCACACUGGGACUGAGACACGGCCCAGACUCCUACGGGAGGAAGCAGUGGGGAAUUUUCCGAAAUGGGAGAAAGCCUGACGGAGCAAUACCGCGUGAGGGAAGAAGGCUCUUGGGUUGUAAACCUCUUUUCUUAGGGAAGAACAAAAUGACGGUACCUAAGGAAUCAGCAUCGGCUAACUCCGUG
rnacentral:rRNA from 1 species